UGCGCAUGUGCGGGCUGCGCUGGUGAGGGUUGUCGCGGGGGGUCUGGAAGAAGACAGCUGUAGGGAGAGGCCUGAUCACAGGAGCGAGUUCUUUGGGGUACCUGGCAUCUACUUCAUUCCAAGCAUCAUCCUCCGAAAAUGCACAUAUUCCCUCUGAAGCAGAGCCAGAGGAAAUUGCACUGCCUUGCCAUCAUCUGGCUCAGCAGACUGGCUGGGGUAUCUAUCCUUCAGUAAGACAUAUCUAGGAGCCUUGAUUGCUAUGGAAGCCGGCCCAAAUUGGGACUAUCACUAUUCUAAAGCUACUUCCUCAGAAGGAUUUUCGGGGGUGGGCUCCAUAUGCCCAAAAGGCUAUGCAGGCGUUUGGGAACAGGAAAGAACUCCACACACAGGCCUGAAGGAUCCCAGCUGCCCAAGGCUGGCCGGCAAGUGCCUACUUAACGCAUGUGCAUGCGGCAAAGGUCAGACGAGCUAGGGACCUGUUACAAGUAAAGUGUCUGGGGAGGCCUGGUCCCAGGAGCAGACUGACAGGGGAUAUAAGGCAUCUGCCUAAUUCCAAGCCGUAAUCCACACAAAUGUGCAUAUUCUCCCUGAAAGUAAAGCUGGAGGUGUAUGGACUACCCAGCCAAGACAGGAUGACCAGGCUGCUGGGAUAUCCCACACUGAGACAUCUGAGAGCCCAGAUUACGGACUAGCUAGAAGAACCUUGAAAGGUAGAGAAAUAUUUCUCCUCUCCAAAAGUUGCUGUAGUCGGCAGAAUAAACUUCUCUGGCUGGACACUGCUGCAGCUGAGAGACCCUGGGACAUCUUCCAAAAACCAGAAGAAGAUCAUCAGGAGAAAAUAUUCAUGGAACCAGUUCCUUGGGCUUGGCAACUCUUAUAAAUUUGGUAAAGUACUCUUGCUCUGAAUGAUUCAUUUCUUCCCAGAGAUGGUCACUGUUUUUCUUUGUCUUUUGUGUCAUUUGUCAUAACAAGGAAUUACCAUAGGGAGGAAACGCAGACAUAGGCCUCAUUAGCCUGCUGUUCCAGCCAGCCUCACAGACUGAUGAUUUCAAGGUUCUCAUCAGACUAGUGUCUGUUUAAACAAACUUUGCUGUGGGUCCUCUAUGUACAGUCUUGAUGAGGUUUUCCUUUAAUCUUGUUCUGUGUCCUAAGAGCUUGGCUUUAUUACCAGGGAGAAUGUUCUCUGGUCUUCACCAGCCACAGGGUACAAUUACCUGGGUGGACGUUGAUCAAAUAGACUGGGGUUGCAAGAUGUGCACUUACUAGCAGCACUCUCUUGGUCCAGACAUGCCAGCUCAUGCCAGACAUGUUUGUUAUAAGAAGUCCCAGCCAGGAGGGACCUUUGUCAUCUUACCCCUCAUUGCUUGUUAGUGCUGGAAAAGUCCCAUUGUAGCAGUGCCUGCCUGGUGUCACAGAUUAGCAGGUCUGUGACUAGAGACGCUGCAUAUUUUCACAGGAAACUGGAGAUACUGUUGUCGCCACACCAUCCUUACUACCCGUGUGAUAAAGGCCUUUUCCUUAGUAGGAUUCCAUCUGUCGGUGGCCAGAUAGAUGAUAGAUCCUUUAAAUUGGCCAAAUUUGAAAGAAAAAAGGAAUUCUUCCUAGAGUGCUCAGUUGUCUUAUUAAUGGAAAGGCUAUUAAUAAGAAAAGUAAAGUUUCAUUCAGUUUUUACAUAUGAGACCCACAGCAGAGUUUGUCUAAACAGCUGCCAGAUUGACAAGAAUCACGAACAUGCCCGUCUGUGAGGCUGGCUCGAAAAGCAAGCUGACAGGGCCAAUGCCUGCAUUCUUUCCCUGUAACAAUUCCUUUACUAAUAUAAAGGCUAUACUUAGGGACUCCUUUGACAUGUGAAAGAACAGAAAUUAGAUGUAAGCCAAAGCUUACCAUCCAUCUCCAACAUAAAAUCUCUUUCUUGCAAUCUGGCACCAUCUGCUUGUUUUAACUUUCACUACAUGAUUUACACAGGGCAAAAGUGAAUUCUUUCUCUUUCCCUUAAAGUUAUAAAUCUUUUGAACUGUAAACACAUCCCACAGUCACUUGAGACUGAAGAAGAAAAAAAAGUAAAGAGACCUUUUUAAAAACCAAACUGCCAAAAGGCCUCUUGUACCCAAACUCCAGCACAGCCUCCUUAAGAUUACUUACGGGGGCAAAUACAAAUCUUAGAAAUCUUCUCCACAAAUAGUAAAAGACUUUAGCCAUCUGAGCGAGUAUACUUAAUUUAUUCCAAUUGUUAUUUAUAAACUAGUGAGUUUUAUAUUGUUUUAAAGCAAGCUAUAAGAUCUCUGUGUUUGACUAGAUGUAUUUGAACGCACGUAUGUUAGAGAUAUGGUAUUUUCCUACCUUCAGGUGGUAUUACCAUAAUAAAUUUGUAAAAGAGCUCUGUUUAAUUGGCUUAAAGAAAAUUAAGUGCUUAUAUAAAUUUGGCUUUCAAAAAAAUUCUCCAAAAUAAAAUAGAAAUUUAAUCCAAAUGAAUCUCAGGUUUAUGUGAUCUGGAAAAUAAUUGAUAUUAAAGCUAAUUUAAGUUUACUUGUUUAAUUAAAAUAGACAUGUCUUUGGAGUUAUCAGCAUUAAAUAUAAUACUUUUAUCCUACCCAGGUUUACUAAGCAAAUAACUUCAUGUUAUCCCUAUUACAAAAUUUGUCAGCAAAAGUAACAGAAUGCUAACUGAUUUUGUUUAAUGUGUUGUGAAGUUUUUGUGGGUGAUCAAAACAUAAUUGUUGGGAGCAAAUGUUUUAGAUAAAGUAAGUGGAAUAAUAGUUUAUAGAUAAUCUUUUUAGCAACAACUAUAUUUUAUUCUAUACAUGCCUAAGAAUAGCUCCAAAAUCAUGUUUGAUAACAUGAAACUUCAAAGUUUUGCUAAGUUAAGUGAUAAGUUAAAUUUAUUGAAUAUCUACAUAAGUUCUAAAUAAGAUAAAAUAAUGAAACAUUAAUUAUUGAAUAUAGGUUUAUCCACUAUUACAAAGAAACUAAAGCUAAAAUGUGGGUCUGUUAGUAAACAUGUUUUUUUGCUUUAUUAAAAGAUUUACUGUGAAUAAACAUUUCUAGAAAUUAUGAAAUGUUUUCAUAAAUUUACCAAUAAAAAAUGCUGGUAUAAUAAACAGUUCACAAUUGCUACUACUUAGAUUUCAUUAGACAUUAAAGUUUCUACUGGCUAAAAAUUCCAAAGAAUAUUUAUGGGUAAAGCCACUAGAAAUAAGGAAAACUCUCCAUAUGUAAGUAGGAUGUAUGUUUUCAGUAGAAGAAAGUAUGGGAAAUACAUUUUUCUUGAGGGAAAAGAAAGUAAUUUUGUCUUAGAGGUUAGAAAAGAGGGAAAACAUGGGACAAAAUCUAGAUGCAAAAAAGGAAGCUGUAAAAGAUUUCUAGAAAAGGAAUCUUUGCAAAGGAGUUUUAUGAGUGGUCAGGCUGGCUAAGAUUGGAAUAAAUUUAAGUAAAUGAGUUUUAAUAUUCAAAAGUACACUGGUGCAAAGUGAAAAUUGGGUUUACUCUUUGUUAAAAGAACAGUUUUCUUAAAUUAUUGGGUUCCUCUUGAUAAAGGAUUGUAAACAGGUUUUUUUGUUUUGUUUUUUACCUUUUUAAAUUAUCUGCCUAGAAAACAAAGACUAUGUUUUAACAAAAUAAUCUCUCAUGCUUCAUGGUAUCCUUACCAUCAGGUCUUUGAUUACUUUAGAAAACUGAGUCAUCUUAAUAUUAAAAGAUCUAAGUUUUGCUCACAAUUAGGUAAACUUCUGCACUUGCCUUUGAAAUCUUUUAUUGUCAUUUUGGUUAAAUAAAUAAUGUUUCAUAAUGUUCUGUGAUCAGGUUUAAUCAAGUGUUCAAAUUUGGGUAUUUUUUGAUAGACUUUCCAAAAUCAAAUUCUAAAAUGAAGUCUUUUGACAACAAACUAACUUUGAGGUUUUAUAAAGGGUCCCUGGAACAAUUAAAAGGAUUUGUUCUCCUCAUUAAAAAAAGAGAUAUUAAACUAAUUAGGUCUAUUGGGUAUGUUAAAUCACAUGGGAAGCAUUGUCAAAUAAGUGAUGCUGAACCUUCUUUGAUUAUAUUUGUGUAAAUAUAUGUUGUUGAAAUAAGUGUUCUAGAAAGUAUAUCAAACUCCUAAGAAUCUGGUAUGUCCUGAUACGUUAUUUCUUAUAAUUUUAAUUAUCUAAUUAUCUUCUUUUUGUGUGACAGAAAUAACCAAAUUUCCUGGUCAAUUGCACUGUAAUGAACUUGAAUCAGAUCCUUAACCAUGGCCAUUACUAAGUCUUGUAUCAUUUACAGACAGUUUUAUUUGGAUGCUUUUGCAAAGGUGUUCCUGAAGAAAUGUUUCAUCUUCAAGGAGAGUCAUGAAAAAGACAAAAAUAUAGGUGUCUCAUAAUUUAAAUAUCACAAAACUGAAGUUGGUAAAAACUUCCAGAAUUAAUGGGAAAAACAGGAUGAAGCAAAACAAGAAUUACUUGGGACAAAAUAAAUUGAAGAGAAUGAUUAUGAUUUUUAUGACUUUUUGUUUGAAACAUUACUAAGUUUUAAAAAAAUUUUUUUCCAGAUUUAAGGAAAAAAUUUUUAAACUGCUAUACAGUAGCUUGGUAAAUUACACCUUUGUAAGCAGAACUGAAACAUUUAUCUUUUUCUCCCUACCUGAUCCCUCCAGAAUUCAAUUCAGAAACAGUAUCCUUAUAUUUUCAUGACAAUAUAUGUAUUGCAUACAUUCAGUAAGAAUCUGCUCUUCUUGCAACAGGAUACAAUUAGAUAACUGGUUAUAUUAACAAGGCUUUGAGAGGAAUGUCAUAUUUGAGAGAAACAUGCAUGGACUCAGAUAUGACCGGACAGCUUUAAGGAACUAAGGUUGGCUUUUUUGGAGCCAAAUAAAGCCCCUGGGAAAACAGCCUGACACCCUGCUUUACAGGGUUCCCAGAAGCCUUACCAGGUAAGUAAAGGCCAUUUCCUGGCAGGGGCAAGAACCCAAGGAUAUUUUGAGGACCAUGAAAAGAGGGAGUAACACGAAUCUAUAGGUAUUGCAGAUAAAGACUGACAGCUGUGUUUCUUAGUCUUGAGAGACUGUUGACGUUUCCCUAUGAAAAGUUCCAGCAAAAAUUUUUAGAAGUGUUUAUGACCAAAUGCUGUUCUUGCUGCAAAUAAUCAGAUCAAGUUUACUAAAACUAAACUUAUUUUAUAAAUAAGACUUUAUGUGGCUAAUUUUGAAAAUAGGGUGACUUCAGAGAGAAAAAUUAUGUUUCAGUAACACAGCUCUGUAGGUAUUAUAUCAUGGUUCUUUUGUCUUUGAGGUUUUGUUUCUUACCUGUAAACUGGACUAGAUCCCAGAUUCUAGUUUCCUCCAUAGUAUGGCUACAACUCUCCAAAAUAACAUUUCUAAUUUUCUCCCAUCCUUUUGACUUGGAAUCAUCGAGAACCAAAACUUCCCUUUUUCCUGAAGCUCUGCAAACCGAAUAGGAAUGACUUUAUAUAAACUUCAAGAAAAUCACCACAGCAGCCCAUAUAUAAUUUUCAUGCCUGCUGCUCUAUGGGCCACUCCAAAAGAUCACCAGAGACAUUCACACUACAAACCAGGAAACUCUGUCAGAUUGUCACUGCCUGCUCUCCAUCUGAAGAUGCUUUGAGCCUGCUAUCUAUGCAGGUGUUUCUCCACAGGCCUGGAGGUCCAUGGCUGCCCAAAGUUGGCAAACUAGGUAGAGCUAGAGAAAUCUGAACUGCUUGACCAUGGCUGGAUUGGGCAGGCUGGCCCAGGUGUCCCCCAAAAAGAGACAGCUGGGAACCUUGAUUGCUGCAGAAACCCAAGAUCACCCAAAAUAGUAGAGAAAAAAUUUUCUUCCCCAUCAGUUGGCGUAGGGGUGGGAUAAAUUUCCCAGACUGGAUACUGUUUGCUUUGAGGCUGCUGCAGCUGAGAGAUGCCAACACAUCUGAUCAACAGCUGGCAGAAGUUACAGAUUUCGUUGUGUCUUUGAAGUGUAAACACAGCCCACAAUCUCUUGAAAAUGAAAAAGAAAAAAAUGGAAGGAAAGAGGCCUUGUUAAAAAUACAAAGUGCAAUUAGUACUCUUGCCCAAACUAUAGAUCACAGCUUCUAGAAGAUUACUUCCAGGGACAAAUACCAGUCUUAAAAGACCUCUCCAAAAAUAGCAAAUGACUUGAAUCAUCUGAGUAAAUUAAUAUUCCCCCUACGAUUCAAAAACUGCAUCAUCUAAUCCCUGGGAAAUCUUCAAUCAGUGGAGAAACCAAAUACUUAGAGAAGCUGAAGAAGUAGAAACCUCCACUUCAAUCUCCACAAGAGUCAAGGAGGAUCCUGAACAAUACCCUUGUUAGACACUGACUUAGAGGAUAAAGAUUGGGCUGAACUACUAACUGGCUGUUGGUAUUGUAACAUCGCAUAUCGUAUCAUAUCUUACUGAGUUGAAUGAAACAUUGGAUAUGUAGUAGAGACUGUUGAAAUAACUCCAACUUAAUUCCUGAUUUACUUUGUGAUUUAGUAUUUCAUAAAAGAGGAGAUAUUGACUACACAGAAUGGGCAAUUAUAUCUUUGAAUAUAAAUAGGACAAAAUAGAUGAUUUACUAUAAUCCCAAUUUACACUAUUUAAUCAAUAUUGACCUAUUGGAAAAUGAAUAGAUCCACGGACUCUACGUUCAGACUUUAAAAGAGCAUGGACACAUUGUAAGGUAUAUAGAGGACACAUAGGAAACUUAGCACAUAACACUUAUUAUCCUUCAUGGUAUAUGCAAGGCUUCUAUCUCACACCACAGAUUUAUACCCCAAGUAUAUGGAAACCUAGGUUCAUAAUAAAAUCAAAAAUAAACUAUUGGGACUACACCAAAAUAAAAAGCUUUUGUGAAGGACACCAUCAACAAAAUGAAAGCCAUCAACUGAAUGGGAGAAAGUACUUGCAAAUUAUAUAUCCAACAGCAGGUUAAUAUCAAAAAUAUAUAAAGAACUUAUAUAAGUCAACACCAAGAGAAAAACCCAAUGAGAUUAAAAAUGGGUAGAAGAUAUGAAGACAGUUCUCUGAAGAAGACGUACAGGUGGUCAACAGACACAUGAAAAGUUGCUCAACAUCACUUAUCAUCAGGGAAAUGCAAAUCAAAACUACAAUGAGAUACCAUCUCACACCUGUCAGAAUGACUAAAAUGAAAAACACAAGAAACGAGUGUUGACAAGGAUGUGGAGAAAAAGGAACCCUCAUGCACUAUUGGUGGGAAUGCAAACUGGUGAAGCCACUGUGGAAAACAGCAUGGAGGUUCCUCAAAAAAUUAAAAAUAGAAUUAUCAUAGUAAUUCCAUUACUGGGUAUUUACCCAAAGAAUAUGAAAACACUAAUUCUAAAAGAUACAUGCACCACGUUUACUGCAGCAUCAUAUACAUUAGCCAAAUUAUGGAAGCAACCCAAGUGUCCAUCAAUGGAUGAAUGGAUAAAGAAGGUGUGGACUUCUUUAUGGACUAUUAUUCAAUGGACUAUUACUCAGCCAUUAAGAAGAAUGAACUCUUGCCAUUUGCGACAAUAUGGAUGGAUCUAGAGAGUAUAAUGCUAAGUGAAAUAAAUCAGAGAAAGACAAAUGUCAUGUGAUUUCACUCAUAUGUGGAAUUUAAGAAACAAAACAGAGAAGAAAGGAGACAAACCAAAACCAGACCCUUAACUAUGGAGACAGGAGGUGGGUGGGAGGAUGGGUGAAACAGGUAAAGAAGAUUAAGAGGGCAUUUAUGAUGAGCACUAAGUAAUGUAUAGAACUGUUGUACACCUGAAACACUCAAUUGUACACCUGAAACACUGUUAUGUGUCUGACAUAACACAAUCCAACCAGAAAUGGCUGGACUUCUGGGCAACUAAUGGCAAAUCCUAACGGCUGUGAUUUCUGGGCAACUGUGAAAUUAGACUCUUGGCACUUAAAGGAGGGAACAUGACAUUAGAUUACGACACUUUUACAGAUCCCCAACAUCAAAAGGGAGAUUGGAGCCUAGAGAACAUAGAAAGCCCCCUUAUGAUAGAAGGAAAACACAUUCCUAGGGAUAUUUGUUGGAAUGAAACAAAAAUACCUUUAUUAUUACUAGACUUUGGCUAUACCUAGGGUACAAGUACCUGUGGCUAUGGCCUUGACACUUCCUCUACCAGUUAUAUAUAAUAUGGGAAACUGGACCAGGAUAAUACACUCUAAGGCAAAUCUCACCCUAACUUACUGGAGUCAAGGGGGAAAUAAGGAACAUGAAACAUGCUGAGAUGUGUAAAAUGAGAACAGGUAAUGAAUGUAAAAACAGAAGGAAAAGGAUGUAACUAUAGUCAAUAGAAGAUAAGAGAACUAGGGGUGCCUGGGUGGCUCAGUUGGCUAAGUGUCCGACUUCGGCCCAGGUCAUGAUCUCACGUGGGUUGGUGGGUUCAAGCCCUGCAUCAGACUCUGUGCUGAUAGCUUGGAGCCUGGAGCCUGCUUUGGAUUCUGUGUCUCCCUCUCUCUCUCUCUGCCCCUGCCCCACUGACUCUCACACACACACACACACACACACACACUCUCUCUCUCUCUCUCUCUCUUUCUCCCUCUCUCUCAAAAAUAAACAUUAAAUUUUUUUAAAAAGAAGAGAACUAUUAAAAUAACCAGGGAAAUAUUUCACACUAAAUUACUAAGUAGACUACUAAAAGUAAACUAAUAAAUGCAAAUCAUACAUUAGAAAACUUAAGACAAAUAUGGCACAUUUGGAAGAUGAGACUACUAAAGUCAAAAUAAGUUUGCAGGAAUUGAAAAGAACAAAAAUGUGCAUCCCUAAAAUAAUGACAGGCUUGAAUUCUGAUGUUAUAGCAAUUGACAGUACUAUGCAAGCUUGUGCCCCCUGGAGCUUUAUAAAAAUAAUCUCUACUUGGAAAUGUGCUUGUCAAGGAAGUUGAGUGGUUUAAGAAAGUUUUUUACUCAUUUGGCAGUUGGAUAUGGUACCAUGGUAGAGAGUUCUUUACGUUUCUAUUGAUAAUAUUAGGAAUACGGUUGCUUAAACUGGUCAUUAAACUAUGGUGUACAAGAAUGUGCAUUGAGUAAAAAUAACCUCAAAAGAUGAAUGAGUGUGAUUAAGUUCAUAUGUGAAUCACAGAGUGGACUGAUAUUUUUGUGAGCUUAGAUUUGUACUGGGCAUUAGGCCCUUACUAGGAAUUAGUGUGGAAGUGAUUUGAAAUCACCGGGUAGAGGUUGUGUAAUGGCUUGAUACUAUUUCAAAUCCACUUGUUUAUGACAAAGACCAAGAAAAAGUUGGUUAGAAAGUUGUUUUGAUAUAAGAAUGAAGUAAGUGGUGUCAAGAUGUUAGUUCAUCUGUCCUCACCCAUAAGAACUCGAGAGCUCAGCUCAUGAGGGGCCUUGCUGGAGGCUUAUUAAUAAAAAUGUAUGAAGAAGGAACUAUGGCAAGGGGCCACGAGACUGCAAAUACAGAGCAUUUCUGAGGAUGAGAAGAGAGUGCUCAGUCUGCACAAGGCUACGCUUUUCUUAUGUAAAAUAGCUCUCUGAGGACCAUGGGGCAAUUAGCUCCUGCCUGGUAAAGACAACACUUCUACCUACGGUGGCCAGAGCUGUGCAGUCACCCCUCGAGGAUGAUCAUCUUGCCCAUCAAUACCAGGACUGUCACUGCUAGCAACGUGCUCUAGCGACAUGAGACUUGCACUUUUGCACUGGCAGCUGGACAUCAGCUCUCAGUUGGCUAAGCCAUAAUCCCAAGUAGCAACUCAUAUAAAUAUACACAUCAACUAAAUUUACACCAUUCCUUUCAUCUCCCCUUGCCUGGAGCGAUCGUGUGAUUAACAAUGUUUUGGGGUAUGUCAUUUCUUUAAUUACUAAUUAACAGAAAUUGUUCUGUGUGCUGUUGGCUUGCAAAAUUCGCACAGUGAACCAGCCCAACUACAUUGCUGGCAAAGACAAAAUCAUGGGGUGCCUGAGUGUCCCAGUUGGUGCAGCAUGCAACUCUUGAUCUCAGGGCUGUGGGUUCGAGCCCCACGUUGGGUACACAGAUCACUUAAAAACUUUUUAAAUCUUAAAAAAAAAAGACAAAAGCAGUCCCUCAGCAUUAUUUGCCUCCCCAAACAAAACAGCCUACAGAGUGACUAUGUGCAUUUGCUUAGACUAGGGUUUGGAAUCAGCAGAUGCCAGGUACUAACAAUAACCUGUCCCUGGGACCUGGUCUUGCCUGCCAUUGCCCUAUUGCAAGUCUUUGGCUACCCAGAUCUGUACACCCAUAUGAGCCGUCCUCACUCUGUCAGCCACCUUGGCCAGCUGGGACCCUCCAGGCCUGUGGAGUUAAAGCCUAUCUUCAACCAAACGCAUUGCAUCAAAGGUAGAGAGAGCCCACUCUGAGGGAACCACUAAAAUAAGGGAUAGUCAGUCCCCAUAUUUACUUACUGUCUGCUGAGGUCCCAGGCUUCUGCAGCAAUCAAGACUCCCACAUGUUUCUUAUUAGCAUACACCUCAGCCAGCUUCUGGACCCAGCCAUAGUAAGGCAAUACGGAGUCUUCCAGAUCUGCCUUAGGGGGAACAUGGGCAUUUAUAUGUGGCACUUAUAUAGGUUAGGGUUUAUAGUUAGUCAGAUGCCUGGUACCCCAAUAGGCCCCCCAUGACCUGGCUGCAGUAGACACUGACCUGUUCCAGGUCCCUGAUACCCUUGCCCUGUGCCUCCCACGUAUGCACAGCCCAUACCUAGUCAGCCAGUCUUUGGUUGAGGGGGUCCUUCAGGUCUGCAGAGCUCAGGCUUUUCCCAACCACAUGCUUACCUCCUGGGAUAGAGAGAGCUCACCCCAAAAAUCUUUCUGAAGCUAAAACUUUUAACUGAUGACAGUCAGUCCCCAUUUGGACCUGCUGCUUGAUUGGGUCCAGACUUCCCCAGCAAUGGAGGCACCCAGGUGUCUAUCACCGGAUACCCCGGCCGAACCUGCUGGUCCCACCCUGGAAAGGCAGCCCAGACUCCUCCAGCUCUACCCUCAGGUGAGUAUGUUCAUUAGUGUAGGUUAGGAUUUGGAAUGAGUCUGAUGCCAUGGACUGCAACAAUCUGCUCUUAAAACCUGGAUUCUCCUGGCUUUGCCCAGUUCCAGGGUGCUGGGUACCCUGAAGUAUGCAGCCUGUGCAUGAGCACCCCAUCAGCUGUCCUUGGCCUGCCUGGUACUCCAGUCCUGUGGAGCUCAGACAGGUCUCCAACUGCAUAGCCUCCAGGGUGAAGGCUGCCCAACCCCCACCCCCAAUUGUUCUGAGGUGGCAGUUUUAAACUGGUGACACUUAGUCCCCAUAUUGACUUGCUGCCUGAGUGGUCCCAGGCUUCUCUAGGAACCAGAACUUCCAGGUUUCUACAAAUGGAGGGAUGGCCUGUCCUGCCAGGCACCCUCUAUCUGGAAGAGCCAUUGAAACACUCCAGCACUGCCUUCAGAGAGAAUAUUCCACAAUAGGUAGGUGGGCCAUGCACAUUAGGACUUUGUACUGUAUCCCCAAUAGCAUCCUCCUGUGACAUCAUCUUAUUCCAGGUCACUGGAUACCCUGAUCUAUAUGGCCCACACAUGUGCCGUCCACAACCUGCCACCCAGCAUGGGCGAAGGAGGUGUUCCAUUCCUAUGAAGCUCCAGCCAAACACCCACCACCUUGAGCCCACACCCCCCUCCUAAAAAUCUGAUACUCCAACCUAAACUGGCAACUCUCAGUCCCCAUUUAGACCGGCUGCCUAAUGGUGUCCCGGGCUUCUCCAAACAUCUGGGCACCCAGCUGUCUCUUACUGAGGGUGCACCAGCCAUCCCACUUACCCCUGCCCUGGCAAGGCAGUACAGAUUCUUCCAGCUCUGCCUUCAGGGAAAAUACAUGCCUUUGUGGAGGUUAAGCCCUGGAAUUAGGCAUAUAACAGCCACUCCCAGUAGCUCCCUCCUGUGACCUGACCUUGCCCCUAAUUGCCCUGUUUAAGGUCCCUGUCAACUUUGACCUACACGGCUCACAAAUGUAUAAUCCUUACCCUGACGCCUGGCUUUGGUGCUACAGGACCAAAAGCUCUGGACACCAACCACCUGUAUGGCCUCAGGGGGGGAAGGUCCGCACUUUCAUACAUCUUUCUGUGGCAUCAGCUUUAAUGUGAGCAUAGCUGUCCCCAUUUGUACUGGCUGCCUGAUGAGGCCCCAGGGAUCUCCAGGAAUAAGGGUUCCAGGUGUCUCUUUUUAAAAGAUAUACUGGCAAGCCUUCCUGGCCCCUCACUGGCAAGGCAAUCCAGAUUCCUUCACCUCUGCCUCCAGGGGAAUAUGUACAUUUAUGUAAGUUAAUCUUUAUAAUUAGGCAGAUGCCAGGUGUCCCCAAAAGCCUGCUCUUGUGACCCGGACUCUCCUGACACGCCUGUUCCAGGUGCCUGGCUACCCUGACCAACUCGUCCCAUGGAUGGGUAAUACUUCAAAAGCUGUCCAAAAGUAUGGUCCCCCAAGUCUGUGGAUCUAUAGCCCACUCCCAACCACCUACAUAGCCUCAAGGGUGGAGGGAGCCACCCCCCCCCAAAUUAUUCUGAAGCAGCCACCUCAAUGGGCCAUAGACAGUCCCCAUGUAAACUUACUGUCUGCUAUUGUCUCAGGCUUUAGCAGCC